AUACUGAACAGUAAUUACUGUAACCAUUAUUGAGUAGUGCCUUCUUACGUAAGAAUCAAUAAUUGGUGCAAUACCGUGUGCUACUGUGCAACAACGCGUAUUACUGUGUUUUAACCACCGGGUAUUCCAACAGUAUUGACGAUAACAACUACGCCGUUAUUUAUAAACAACUUAUUCUUGUCGUUUUCUUCCUCCAAUCGCUUUCCGUUAUGGGGCCCACA
rnacentral:lncRNA from 1 species